CCUUCUUUAACUUCUUUGUGCCAUCAUUUCACUUUUCCAAGUUCUCCCAUGCUUCCCGCGAAGUUGCAGCUCCUGCAAUUUUCUCAAAGUGUGAUUCAUCAACACACUGAUGAAUCAAGAAUAUUGCUUUGUAAUCCUUCUUUUUCUUCUCUCUGUAAAGCACCUUUUGUGCGUCUGUGGAAUUUUCGGGGAGUGUUGGGUAGCCAUCUUCUACAAU
rnacentral:lncRNA from 1 species